UUUCAACCAAAUGAGCUGAAAUUUGGCGUGAGAGUCCCUAUGGGUAUGCCAUACAAGGGGAACCACACCAGAACAUGAUCUGAGAACAUUUCAAAAUCCGUACCCACCCUAAUAAGCAUACCAUGGUGUUUUUUGGAAAAUGUUUAGUUUGUUGCAAUUAAAAAUUACUUAAUGAAGGAAAAGCUGAAAAAAAUGUUCGAAAUAUCAAAAUUAGUUCAGCAUAAAUGUCAAAAAUUAUUGUUUAUAAGCCAAUUAAAAAGAUAUUCUUGAUUAUAUAAUUUUGAAACUGUAUAAAUUAAAAGGGGAUACAAUUUCAGACAAGUUCCAUUUUUUUAACAUUAAAAAUCAUUAUUUUCCGAGAUAUUGUGAGCUGCGCUGUGAGAGCGCUAAUUAGAUGACUUUAGAAAAAAAAAUCUCAUAUUUCACAAAAUUUUAACUUUAAUAGGCUUUGGCAACCAUCAGUCUUUUCAACAAAGUCAACGAAGGAAAAAAAAUAUGAAAUUUUCUAAACCUUUCGAAAAUAUUUUUGCAGGGGUGCAUUUUUCUUCGUGAAGUAUGUUUAAAUUUAAAAAAAAAAACUUGAACUAACCAACUUAAAAACGAUGCACUUUAUCAAAAACUGUGUUGAGAAAUUUGUAGAAAUUCUUAAUCAAAAACUGCAAUUGCAAAUUUACUUUUACAUCAGCAUUUAAGUUUUUUUUUUUUCAAAAUCUCAUUUUUCCAAAAGAUCAUGGCUCCGUUACCAGAUUUUGCACCAACAUAAACCCAUAUUAAAAUAUCGGAUAUUCAAAAAUAUUUGUUUUGGAAAUUAAACUUUUAGUGAUAAAAAUUAUUAAUAAUAAAUGAUGGAGCGCGAAUGGAAUAACUAAUGAUGCAAAAUGUCUGCUUUUAACAUAGGGACAUGGACAAAAUUUCAUUCGAAUCAAACAAUAAAAAAAUAAAAAUCUUGAAAAAAUAAGCGAAAUUCUAGAGAGUUACCAAGUAAUGAAAAAAAUAUUGAGUAAACUAUCAGAAAUCAUAUUAAAAAAGCUAUUUUUCCACCAAACACACUCAAGAUGCAAUCAUCCUUCCCUUUAUCGCGUUUUCUCUACCACUAGACAGCAAAAUAGUGACAUUAAUUUUCCAAAUUCCACACGCUUCCCCUUUCCCGCUUACAACCACAUCAAAUAAUUUCCCGCAAAUUGAAACAUGCAUUCAAUUAAACAUUCAUGCCUGCGUGUGUGUGUCUGAACUGUCCAUCCACCUACCCCUUCCAACCACCCACUCAUCGCGAAAAUGUUUCUAAAAUCGGAUAUCGUUUUCCACACGAACGCAGCGAGCGUUCGCGCGAAGCCACAAAUUAUAGAGGAGAAGGAGCGCGGAAAAAGCCUCUUUUCCGCCGCGGACAUGCAAUAUUUAUGGCGGUUUGGCCGGCCGGCCGUGCUAUCAGCACGAAAUUCAAUUUUCACUCUUGGGAAACGGGGCGUUUUUUGUAGGCCCUAGAGUGUUUUAAGUUUGUUAAGAAAAAAAAUCUUUUUGUAGAGUUUCAAGAGCAUGAAUAAUAAAUCUUCAAAGAAUACAACUAUUUAAAAAUCGCCAAAUAAUAGAAGUAUGAGAUCAAUUACAUAUUGAUAUCAUAUUUCUGUAUUGUAGAAGGACCACCUUUUAUAUUAAUCAGCUCAAAGAUUUAAUAUAAGAACUUUUCAAUUGCUUAGCGGAGCAAGUUAUUUCUUCAGGAAGUGGUUUUAUUGUUAAAUUCAGUAAUAUAUCCGCUUGUAAAUUUUCUGGAAAAUUCAGGCAAACAACAAUCUAGUUAUGGAACUAGACGUUAAUGCUCAGCUAUUUUUUAAUAUUUUCUGUAUUUAGUUCCAAUUUAUACUUCUAAAUUGGAAUAAAUAAUGGAGUGCAAGAAAAGCAAAAAAAAAA